UGGGGGAUAUUGCACAAUGGGCGAAAGCCUGAUGCAGCGACGCCGCGUGGGGGAUGAAGGCUUUCGGGUUGUAAACCUCUUUCGCUAUCGAACAAGGCCCGCUUAGGGUGGGUUGACGGUAGGUGGAGAAGAAGCGCCGGCUAACUACGUGCCAGCAGCCGCGGUAAUACGUAGGGCGCGAGCGUUGUCCGGAAUUAUUGGGCGUAAAGGGCUUGUAGGCGGCUUGUUGCGCCUGCUGUGGAAACGCGGGGCUUAACUUCGCGCGUGCAGUGGGUACGGGCAGGCUUGAGUGUGGUAGGGGUGACUGGAAUUCCAGGUGUAGCGGUGGAAUGCGCAGAUAUCUGGAGGAACACCGAUGGCGAAGGCAGGUCACUGGGCCAUUACUGACGCUGAGGAGCGAAAGCAUGGGUAGCGAACAGG
rnacentral:rRNA from 1 species